rnacentral:lncRNA from 1 species
GGACAGUGAAGGAACCGGGAAAAAAAUGUUUGAACCGGCGCGGAACCGGAAAUAACCGGUAAAAACCGGUGAACCGGUCGGGUCAGACCGUUUAGUGGUUCUGCCGGUUUUUUCGCCAGAAAAAAAACAACGGAUUUUGAUUUUUUUUUUUUAACAUAAAGAAAGAAUUGGAAAGGUUUCACUUGUUUUCUUUCUUAAACUGAUUUUGGGUUUCAGAAGAUGAAGAGAAGAGGGAAUAUUUCAUGAAAAUACAAACCAGAGAGUUGAAAGGAAAAACUAAUACUAGUUUGUAUUUGUAGAAGAGCAAGAACAAAAAUUAUGAGAGAUCCAUGUAGACAAUGCUUUGCUGGUUGAGAAAUUGACUUUCAGAUCUAGAGUGAAAUAGGAAGGAGGCGCACAACAUACUGCAAAUAAAAUGGAAUGCUAGGGUUUUAAUAUUCCAUUAUAUUUUUUUUAGAAACCAAGGCCCAAGAACCCAUAUAUUUGUCUUUUGUAUGGUCCAAGUCCACACACUAUGUGCAAUGUAAUAGUUAUA